GGGGUGGUUGAACUGGUUUUUGUUUUGUGUGGCCGAAGCCAAAAAUCCCAGUGCCCAAGAACCGGGGAAUGAUGUUUAGGGGUCUAAAACGGGUCGGUGCUAGGCUUCGACUCCUUGUUCUGCGACACUAGAGUCCGCGCUGGAAGGAUAGAGCAAGACCCUCGGAGUUGCAUCACCUCUGGAAGAAACUCCGUAGGCGCGCAUCCAUUGACUGAGCCGCGUCUCUCGGCACCCCCAGCAUUUCCCAGAGUGCAACAACACCACCCGAGAUCAAUGACCAGUCUGUUUAUUCUUGACGCGCCGGGAAGAGCAAGGCACUGAAGGAGCAUGGGAGGAAGACUUGGGGCUUGCCUCUUGGCGACCUCUCGCAGACUUUUUCUAGCUGGAUUUCUAAACGGCAGCUAGCAAGCAAAUAGAGUUCCUCAAUGCACGCCAUCACAUACCAAUGACGAUAUAUUCAUCUAGAAAUGUGAUACAUCCUUUUUCCCCCCACCCCCUUUCACCUUUUGUCGAUUUGUCUCUGGAGGUGGAUUGCUAAUACCUGAGAUUUUGCACUUGUCUAGGGCGGAAACUUUCUGGGGUGUUUGACGAUUGAUUAUUUGGUACCUGCUUUCUAAAAAUGGCUAAACACCUUUCCUUGGAACAAAAGUGAGAAAUGCAAAUCCUAAUAACUCAAGGCAAAAAUUUCAAAGUGUAAGCACAGUUAUUAUCCACUCCCACAAAGAAAAGCUUACUCUUCCACAAAUAUUUGAUAGCAUAGAGCCCAGUAAUUAAGAGAACAAUCAAAUAAACUCAAGGCUUUCAUGGGGACUCUAAAUUAUCAUCUGCCUAGAAUUUAUAAGCGGUGUAAUCAUUUGCCAACUUGGAUAUAGCUCUAGAUAUAGCAUUCUAAAUGUGUAUCCUUAAACAGUUAAGUUUUCUUAAGUAUUUAAUGAGCGAGAUCACGGAUAAUAAUAAUAUUCAAAUUGCUGGAUCAAUGUGGCCUCACCAACUGUGUGAAAAAAUUCCCUUCAUGUGUGCAUGAAACGUCUUGCCUAUAUGUUACCUUUCCUAACAUUUCCUAUGCAUGCAAGCAAGCUUCAAGUCUGAGCCACUUGCAUAAUAAGAAUAUAAGAAUACCUAAGAAUGCAUCAAUAAUUGUGCUGUACCUUGAAUUUAAGUGUAAUUUUUAUGCUAAAGAGUUCUUGGCAUAUAUUACAUGAUUUAUCCUCAUAAUACAUAUGUAGUUGCUUUUCACAGCUCUUAGUAUGAAGGUCCUUAUAUAAUGUAAAAGAAGCAAAUCAGGCCAACU
rnacentral:lncRNA from 1 species